rnacentral:sRNA from 1 species
AUAACAAGAAUAAAAUGUGAAAACCCAAUAAAAAUAAGAUGAAUCGGCUCUGACAUAACAAGAACAACGGCACAGAGACGCAGCCAACAGAUUUUUUUGGAGUAGAUGUGCUUUACCGAGGUCUUGGCCUCGCAGCCCGACAGAGAACAAUAAAACUACCUUCAGGUAGCGUCCGGAACGGGUUGGAUCUUCGCCACAAGCGAAAUGGAUCGAAGCAGAUAAGCGCUCAAAAAAAUACGUUUGCUCUUGUAUCCCGGAUGGGGAUCACUGAAGAACGCUGUGAAGGGUACGGUUGCCAAAAACAACAAUAGACCGCCCUAAAACAAUAAAAAAAGAGCACGUGCAACGAUUUAAAGGGGAGCCUCGGCUCCCCUUUAUGCUGUCUGCGAUUCGGUUUUUUACCUAUCG